UACGUAGGGUGCAAGCGUUGUCCGGAAUUAUUGGGCGUAAAGAGCUCGUAGGCGGUCUGUCGCGUCGGCUGUGAAAACUCGGGGCUCAACCCCGAGCCUGCAGUCGAUACGGGCAGACUAGAGGACGGUAGAGGCGUGUGGAAUUCCGGGUGUAGUGGUGAAAUGCGUAGAGAUCCGGAGGAACACCAGUGGCGAAGGCGACACGCUGGGCCGUACCUGACACUGAGGCGCGAUAGCAUGGGGAGCAAACAGG
rnacentral:rRNA from 1 species